UAUGGCGGAACGCAGUAGACGCUCACACUCAUUCAUUCACUGACAGGAGCGCACAUACCGUCGGUGAGUAGCGACUAAACUUCGUGAUCCAGGACUCACUGGUGAUGGGUUUAGCACGUGGGAGCGGCUCUAGAUCCAGACGAUCUUGUAAAGUUAUUGGUUUGCGUUCUGAGACGUACAUCUUUGUAUUAUUGUAGUUAGCGCUUGUGUUAGCAACAUGCUAUCCCGUCUCGGUCGCUCAUGGCGUGAGGCACGUUCAGUGAGCCCGAUUGCAUUGUGGGUAACGUAGUCGCGUAUUGUUGCGCUCUCACUGUGUUGCGUGUUUAAUGCGAGCCUUGAGAACUACAUAUUUUUUGCACCGUGGUUUAGCGAUGGUCCAGUCUAACAGACUUUAUGUUAUUGCUUCUUGUGUUUAGUAAUAGAAACAGAGAAGCAUUACACGCAAUCAACUCAAAUGUUUAUUGUUGUGCAUGAUAUUUUGAAUUUACAUUCUAUGAAUAUGUUGUGAUUUUGGUUUAUUUCUGUGUUUCUUCCAGGUUUAUAACCAGUGCAAUGGCUGUGCAAUGUUACAUUAAAUAACAGCAACUAGUCAAGCACGAGUUGUAACAGUGUGUUUCCUGUUAAGCCCUUUCCGAGGGCUAAGCUCAAAAUGUCGGAACAAUAAGAGGUGAGUUCAUAUCUAGUGUUGCCUUGGGAACAGAAGAAAGGGAAGUUUAAAUUGUUAUUCUUAUUUACUGUGUUCUUUAAGAAUUAGUCUUAAUGAAUCAAUCAUGACAGCUUAAUGACAGACCUUUGACCUGCCGCUGCUUCUGAUAGUGUAACCCAUUAUUAACAAGGAUAUCAAAGCGACAAAAAUCAUGUAGCCCCUCAACAAUCUCUUAAUACAACAUGACAGAUAGCUCUAUAGUUCACCCACUUAAAGCACUGCUGUCAUGGAAACACACAAAACAAACAACCAUCAUUCACACAAAUAUUGAUCCACUCUGAACAGGAUCCAUUGUGCACAUGAUACACAAUACAGCCAUGUGAUCCAGCAGCAAAAUAAAAGAUGAAGAAAGAUUAAUAGCUGUCUCACACUGAUGUGAGGAGCACACAGGAAGUCAGUCAUCGUUUGAUCUUGUAAUGACAACAAGUCUUUAGCUUCAGGUAAUUGAUAAAAGGAUGUGGCUGUAUCUUGUGUAAAUGUAGACUUGUGGAUGGAGAGGUAAACAUCCUCCUCAGGUGUAGAUCUUGCGCCUGGUUGGUCAUCAUUCAGAGGGUCACAGUCUGGUUGGCUGCUGGCAGGUCUAAUUAUACUUUCAUAGACAAAUAUUAUUACAAGUCAUCGAUACCCAAAUUUAAGGAUAAAAUGAUUCAGUGAGACUACAGAAAAUAACUCUGGCUCUGUUUUUAGGUGUGUCAGAGGUCGCUGUUGUUGCUAAACUAACCAUUGAGCUUUAUUUAAUGUUAGACUUUUGAUUUACUUUCGGCAUGUUCUGAUCCAACUUCGUCUUAUGGAAGUUUCUGAAAACAAAACCCUAUUUACAGCCACCAUUGGCCAAAAUCCCUGCACAAAUAUUUUUGCAAGCCAUAAAAAAAGCUGGUAGUAAAGCUCCUAUUAGUGUUCUCCAAAAAUACAUAUCCCAAAGAUCUGUGAUCCCCGGAGGGACAAGGAACACAUUCCUCUUCCUGGGUUCCUCCCCACAUCCCGGGCAAGAAUAGAAACUGGGGAGUCAACCCGCAGAGCUCAGAGAGAGGCCCACAACAGAGAACACACACGCUCACAUCAGGAGGAGGCAUGAAACUGGACUCUUUCAGAGCACUUAUACUGUUUGGUCAGAACCGCUUGCUAUGUACUGCUGCUGAGUGUGUCUUUGUCUUUGGGUGUUUUGAAAGGCACCUAUUUAUUAAAUGCAUUAUCAUCAUUAUUAGGAAGAAAAUUCAGACAGCGUUGUUUUCAUUUUAUAUUCAGGUUAGGAAUCCAGAUGCCUCUCUUUGACUUUUAUAAACUGGAAAAGCAUAAAGAGCACUUUUUCACAGUGGAUCCAGAAGACUUUUUUUUUUUCUUUGAGAGGGAAUACAGCACUUUUUCACGUCAUUCACAAGAGGGCAUCCAGGGAGCACUUUUUUAUAUUUGUAUUUUUGUCAGACAUCAAGAGGGCACUUUUUAAAAAUAAUUUCUAUUCACCAGCUAAAGUAAAGAACGUAAGAUAGGUUCUUAUCAAUGCCCUGGGUUGCUUGCCUUUUUUUUUUUCCUUGGGCUGGUAAAUAUUAGUGCUGUAUUAUUAUUGUGGUUAUCAUUCUUCUUUGGGCCUCAGCAGUUAAGAUAAUCUGCAUAAAAAACCCUACAAAAAGCUGUUUUUAGCUGCAUGUUUUUGUGUUGGUCUUUGCUAAAGCAUGAAGAUCUUAUACCUCAGCAUGUUUCACCUCUGUGAAGGAUUAAAAACCUUCAUGGGUUCAUGGACAGCCAAUCCUGUCCAUAAAGAACAUACUAUUACAAAAGUCAUGUGCCAUGGAAGAAGUAAAACAUUUUGUAACGUGGGUUUGUGUACAUCCUCUUCUUUUCUUUUUCUUUUCUUUUCUUUUCUUUCUGAUGACUCAAGAUUUUUUUUCUGUACUCAGAAACAGCAGCAGCAGCAAAACCACAGAGUUAGUAUGCGCCCUCUUUUUGGCUCACAUCAAGUUUCAUCAGGAGGAUUGGGUAAAGGUGGAUUGUUGUGAAACAUGCAUGCUAACAUUUCCUUGAAAAUGGAGACAUUACAGAAGUCUUGAUACCAACUGUGUGCGUUAUGUGGCUGUUGAGACCACUUUAAAAACCCCAUUGAAGCUCGAAAGCCCAGCUGUAUGUGAAGAUACUGAAGCUAUUGUUGUAGAGCCUAUAAGAGCAGCUUUUAAAACUGUUGAUACCAAGUGUGGUGAUAACUGACUUCCACACUAGCACCAAUAAAUUUUGCCUUGGAUUUACAUUUAUUCUUCUAACCAUAUGUCCUGUGUAUUACAGGUUAGAUAAUAACACAUUGGCUACUGUGGUCAGACUGGAGGAAAAGGCAAAAUAAACCGCAGGAUGUUUUUGUGUUUACUCAUGACAGUUUAGCACAACCUGUGAAUAUUAGUUCCUCUGGGUAUUUUCUAAAACCACAUGCUUUUCUGUCUUGUUGGACUCCUUACCUUCUGAGUUAACACCAGCUCCUUCUCCAUUUGUUGUGUUUGGGUCUGAACUCUUCUCUGAAUGUCCAUCCUACUUUUGACACUUUAAAUGGUAGGAUGCUGUUGUGCCUCAGACUUUGGACCAGGAAUGGACACGAUUAAUCAAUAGUUGAUUAAAUGAUUGUUAAGAAUUACAUCGAUCACACAAAAUUUCGAUCAAUGUAAUGUUAUCAAAAAAGGGCUGACAGCGUGCAUCCAUCCUCCAGCAGCUUUUCAGGGAUGCCCUCUUUGUCCUGUCAAUGUGUGUUGAAGCAAUGCUGUGACUAUCACCAUGCGGAAGGAUUUUGCCAUUUUACAAGAGGAGUGAGCGGACAUAGAAGAAGAAAAAUCGAUAGAAGUGGGAAAAAAAAAAGAACACGGAGAAAGCAAGACGAAGUGUGGUGUGGGACCAUUUCUAGCGGAAACAUGAUGAGGUUUGCUGCAAACACAGUGAAGCUGUGGAGAGGUACAACAUGACAACGACCCCAAUUAUGUACCACUUGAACCACAUACAUCUGACUGAGGUUAAUGAAUCCUCCAAGUGCUCUCAGUCUCAACCUACCGUCAGCUCCUUGCUAGCAAGGAGUAACAAUAGGGUGACCAGACAUCCCCAAUUUCGAGGGACAGUCCUCGUUUUGGAUGGAUGGCCUGUACCCGCCUAAAGUUGUCCCCAGAAAUGUCUCAGAUUUUAGCGUUUCAUGAAUGAGAAAAAAAAUGUUGCCUGUAGAAUUGAACAACAGUUAUUAUGGUGGCCAGGCAGGUAGGAAGCACAAGUGAGCAAUUAGUGUCAAUAUAUUAGGUAAAUAUUUCAAUGAGGCAAAAACACGUUUUUGUGUAUUUUCUGCCAUUCACAUUAAAAAAAAGGAUAAAAUGGAUGAUUGAUCAUUAAUUUUUUAUGAUUAAUCGAUCGGAUUAUAAGAAAGGGCCUUUCUUAAAAUGCCCAUUCACACUUUGGACUGAGUUUCUUGGGUUUCUGUUCAUCUGUGGAGCAGUUGCUUUUUCUCUCUCAUAGCAGUGAUGUACCACACUAUAUUUUACUUCUGUCAACUAAACACACCCAGGUUUAUUUACACAUCGUGGGCACACUGCAGGAAAGUGAAGAUUGCAUCAGUUGGAAAGCAGUAAUGAUGCUCGUGUUGCACACUCUCAUUUUCUGUGUUUAUCCAAGUUUGUUAAAGACACCCUGAAAACAGAACAGUGCCGCCCUGAGAUGGACACGGCUGUGUCAAUGUCCUCUCCUCCUCCACAAACUGUGUCUGGAUAAAGCUUCCUGCUGCUUUCAGCUACUGGAAGCUGACCAGGUCUCAGUUUGAUGACCUUUGUGAAAACAUUAGUGAACCCAAGAGACUCAUUUCUUGAGUUUGGAAAGUGAAAUGUUACCCCAUUCUUGCCUGUUUUUUUUUUUGGUUGUGAUGAAAGUGGAAGUGAACAAAGAAAUCUUCAUGUGUCUUUACUUGUAAAUUAAAAGAGACUGACUGCAUGAUUCACAUUUCCUGGACCCUUCCAAACAUACAGUACAUCCAUUGUGUAUAUGAGCAUUGCUGCAGACCAUACACAGUUUGCUCACUAUGCAGUGGAAACGACGUUGAUCUUGGCAGUGGGAGACAAUAAAACAAACAGAUUUUUCCAGUUUUGGCAGCAGAUGGUUUGCAUUUAAAUCUAAACAUUGUGCAGAAUGCUUUUCCUUCUGCAGAGGGGGAGGGAGCAACACUUCAGAAUGAAGUCUUGAAGCCAAAGUAAAAUCUCAGCAGCUGGCCAAGUAAUUGUCCAGACCCAGGCGCUCAUCAAGAACCAAAUCAGCCCCCUGCAGAUGUAUUAAGUUUAAAUAUGACCGAUUUCCUAUUCAAAAACAUAUUUUCUUCCUCAGCCCCAGACAGAGAAGGAUCAGCAGGCGUAAGAUGAGCUGUCUUAAGGGAUCCACAGUCAACACAUGCAGGAUUUUCUUUCCCUGCUCUCCAUAUCGACGAGUGCCAGUGGGAGUCGGAGCUGUGUUUCUGUGCCUGAAGACACUCUGCCACUGAGAGUCUCAAGCUGCAGUCCCCAAACUCGGAGUGCUGGCUGUGGCUCUGCUCAAUGCCAUGUUCCUUACAUCACUCAAAACCAAUAUUUGACUAGUUGCAGUCCCCAAACUCACACCCACAACGGUGGCUUUUUGAAAACAGAGAAAGAGGCUGAAGUCUGAGAGCCGUUCCCACUACAGCCCUCCUCCUUUCUCCUUUCUUCCUCCAUACUUCUUUUAUUUUUGGGCAAGUUUUCAUGUCUGCCGACGCCGAUCCCCUGGGCUCAGAGCGGUUUUCUGCUGAAUGUGGC